UUGUUUGAUACCACUUUUCAAUUUUACCAUUAGUCUAGGGACAUUUUCAUAAAUACCAUGUUCAUUAAUGGGCAAAAGACAAUACUAUCCUUCCCUUAUCUCAAUCAUCGUUUUCUUCCUCUCUCUCUCUUUUGGCGAUCGAUUUUCUCGGAGUCACCGGAGAUCCGCCGUAUCUCUCUCACACGACCGAUUCUCUGCGAUUCCAAACCUCCACAAUGUCGACUCCUACUUCUGUACAAGAGAUAACCUUGCUUCACAAUCAGCGCGCUUAGCUGUUGCCGUCUUCAUAGAGCUUCGUCGUCAUAUUCAUGGAGAUUCAGCUUCGCCGUUUUCACGGAGCUUAGCUGCCAUUGUAUGACAGAGAGGAAAGCCUCCUGAUUUGAGAUCCUCACCGCUGAUUGAAUAGCUCGCUGGUUGUCGUUGCAUCCUCUCCUGUGAUGAUGGAUGUGGUAAUGCGUUUUGAGGGUUUAAGGUGGAUUUUAAACUAAGGGAAGCUGGAGGAAUGGAGAUUGUGCCUCCAAUCAUAACAAUCAGCGUCACUUCGGGAGCCUAUUAAUGAGGCAAAUCAAAUAAAACAUUCAGAUCUUAUAGCGACAAAAGGCUUUUGACUUAAUCUUUUUUUUCCUAUCAUGAAUCAGUAUAGUUCUGCUGGGACUGAGGAAAGUUGGGCAUGAUCUUACUUUGAUGUGUUGGUUGGAUUUCAGAUAGUUACUUAAAGAAAUGAUUUUUUCUAAGGGAAAGCUUUAAACUUAGUUCUUUGGUGUAAUAGUACUGUUAGGCCAGAGUAUUGUUUCGCAAAGCAAUAAUGCUUAGUGGUUCUUUGGUGUUACCAAGAUACUGUUAUGUUCUAUUUGGAGGCAUUUACUAAUCUUUCUUCAUGUCAUUGUCAACUAGGAAUGAAACAUGCACAUGCUACUGUUACCGUUGACACAAGUGCUUGGUUUUAUGCCUUUACUCGUUGAACUAGUCUAGUCCUUCAAUCUCUCUGAAGGUGAAACUGCUAGACCAAGUUCAGUGUUUUAUGUUUUACCAAGCAAAAUUCCCUCAUGAAGCAUGUGAAGAACAUUGGACAUAUAGUAUAACAGGGUUGCAACAGAGAGCCUAACAGAUAAGUUAUUUGGGACUUUUACCUUCAUUACGGAUAAGAUCUUAUUGUUACAAAACAGAACAAAUCCACAUGUUGUUUCCUUUCCAAGCCAUCCAAAACACAACAAAACAGCAGGGACGCUCACUUCA